ensembl:lncRNA
CCCCGAAUGACGUCACCACGUUGCGGAGCGUCAUUUACCUGGCAGGGCGCCUAAGCGGCUCAAACGCUCAAAAGUUUGGUUAUACUUUACGAGAACAGAUGACAACGGGGCAACUUGCAAUACUUGCAAAGUAGAUAUUUCAUUUAAAGGAGGAAACACUACGAAUAUGCAAAAGCAUUUGCUCACAAAACACGCGAUGAACUUAAAUGAAUGUCGUGUUUUUAAUUCCACUCCGGACUCAUGAAUCUCAACCCAGCAGCAGCGGUAACGUUUGCACGUCAUCUCCCGUUAAUGCGGCAGGUGACCAUGAUGAGAGAGACAGACAGAGUCUGGCUGGCAGUUCUUGCUGCAGUCUACCGGUAGCGUCUCCUUUCAGGCCAGGAUAGACAAAUGUCACCGAGCAGUGACUUAAGUUUGUGGUCAAAGGCUUGCACCCAUUUGCCACAGCAGAUGCCCCCGAUUUUCGACUGGGAUGGAGCUGUGGUUUCUUGCUUUUCCUCUGAUGGUUUUUGUUCAGCCUGCAGGGAUGAUUUCACACUUAUACAACAGUACUGCUGCACUGGUCAGUUCCCCCACAGCUGAAGGAGACACUUUCUCCAGCUCUCCUGGUCAGAGUUAAAUCACUCUGUAUCAGCUCUUCAGCCACAGUAAUCACUGGGGUAGAGACACAGACAGUACACAGCUGCAGUGCUGCACUGGUCAGUUCCCCCACAGCUGAAGGAGACACUUUCUCCAGCUCUCCUGGUCAGAGUCAAAUCAUUUUGUAUCAGCUCUGUGGCCAUGGUAAACAGCGCUGCAGAGACACACACAGAAGCUGGCGUUUCCCCCUCAGGAAGUUCAACUGGCUGCCAAUUUAUACAAGCGUAGCUAUCAACAAGGCAUCUAACUUUUUUAGUGGUUGGAGUGGUUUCCACACCUAAUCGAAUCAGUUUGGAUCACUUUGCUUCACCUGAACACCCUGACAGUAUUUACACACUGCUGUCUGACUGCAUUCAGCUGACACUGAGAUGAAGCAGAAAAGAAGCAGCUGGUGAAGGUAGAAAGUGUGUGUGAGCUGAUGUGGAUGUGAAUUCAGCAGCAUGGAUCAGUGUGAGGACAGAGAGGAGGGAGUCCCUCCCUCUAAAACCACUCUGUGUGGGGAACAUGAGAGCCAGACCAAAGCUCAGAGUUCAGAGCAGCGGUACGCACUGUAUUCUGCCAGACCUGGGCCCAGCUGCAGAUCCCUAACGACUGACUUGUACUUGGAGUUACACGUGUUUUUUACUCGAAAGCGUCUCCCUUCCAGUUGGUCCUCCUCACUGUUUUGUGGAGUGAAUCAAGCACAAGACUGUACUAAACUUGAACCUGAAUCUAAACAUGAACUGAUGCCUGAAACAACAAGCAUACCUGAACAAGAAGCCUCUGCGACUUCAAAUCUUCAGAUCCUCGGUUGUAAACAUGUCAUGGAUCAGGAUCAGGCUGGGCCCCGGCAGAUGAUCUGUCCAGUGUUGAACAGCAGUGCUGUAAAAAAGACAGACGGGCUUUUAAAGGAAUGGUUGUGGGAAACUCUGGAGACUUUGGGAACUGAGGAGCUGAAAAACUUCAAGUGGUGUCUGCAAAAUGUUACUGAGUCAAAGGAUGGCUUCAAGCCAAUCAAAAAGAGUCGACUGGAGAACGCAGACAGACUGGACACAGUGGACCUGAUGGUGCAGAUGUACGAUACAAAGACUGCAGAGGUGACGAAGAAGAUUUUAAGGAAGAUCAAAAGGAAUGAAGGACAACCCUUUCCCCAAAUUCUGCUGCAGGAUCAACCAGCUAAUGCCACAGGUAUGUGUUCAUUAUGGUACUAAGUCAUACUACACUAAGACUGAUAAUAUAAGUGUAAUAUUUAAGGGGGGAGACCAAAUAGCUGCCAGUCUGAUUUAAUCUAAACCUUUCUCAUCUUUCCACAAUUCACUAACUUUCAUCUGUGUGAAAAGGUGAGAAAGUCUGCCCAAAAAGGAAAUCUACUUCUUCUCUCUAUAACUCAGUUUGAUAUUUAACUGCAAGAAGCAUUCAACUCCAGUCAAACAGAUCUUUAGUUAAUCUGCUAUAUGAGGUGGACAAUUUCUCAGUUUCCUAGACUUCCAAAAGUAACGUAUUUUUAGGACUACACAUAUAUAUAUAUAUAUAAACACCCAGCGCGCCCCUGCGGGCGGUUUAUCCUUCAAGCUCGGGUCCUCUACCAGAGGCCUGGGAGCUUGAGGGUCCUGCGCAGUAUCUUAGCUGUUCCCAGGACUGCGCUCUUCUGGACAGAGAUCUCCGAUGUUGUUCCCGGGAUCUGCUGGAGCCACUCGCCUAGCUUGGGAGUCACCGCACCUAGUGCUCCGAUUACCACGGGGACCACCGUCACCUUCACCCUCCACAUCCUCUCGAGCUCUUCUCUGAGCCCUUGGUAUUUCUCCAGCUUCUCGUGUUCCUUCUUCCUGAUAUUGCUGUCAUUCGGAACCGCUACAUCGAUCACUACGGCCGUCUUCUUCUGUUUGUCUACCACCACUAUGUCCGGUUGGUUAGCCACCACCAUUUUGUCCGUCUGCAUCUGGAAGUCCCACAGGAUCUUAGCUCGGUCAUUCUCCACCACCCUUGGGGGCAUCUCCCAUUUUGACCUCGGGACUUCCAGGUUAUACUCGGCACAGAUGUUCCUGUACACUAUGCCGGCCACUUGGUUAUGGCGCUCCAUGUAUGCCUUGCCUGCUAGCAUUUUGCACCCUGCUG